rnacentral:rRNA from 1 species
GAUGAACGCUGGCGGCGUGCCUAAUACAUGCAAGUCGAGCGAACAGACGAGGAGCUUGCUCCUCUGACGUUAGCGGCGGACGGGUGAGUACCACGUGGCUAACCUACCUAUAAGACUGGGAUAACUUCGGGAAACCGGAGCUCAUACCGGAUCAUAUAUUGAACCGCAUGGUUCAAUAGUGAAAGACGGUUUUGCUGUCCCUUAUAGAUGGUUCCGCGCCGCAUUAGCUAGUUGGUAAGGUAACGGCUUACCAAGGCAACGAUGCGUAGCCGACCUGAGAGGGUGAUCGGCCACACUGGAACUGAGACACGGUCCAGACUCCUACGGGAGGCAGCAGUAGGGAAUCUUCCGCAAUGGGCGAAAGCCUGACGGAGCAACGCCGCGUGAGUGAUGAAGGUCUUCGGAUCGUAAAACUCUGUUAUUAGGGAAGAACAAAUGUGUAAGUAACUAUGCACGUCUUGACGGUACCUAAUCAGAAAGCCACGGCUAACUACGUG